UACGUAGGGUGCAAGCGUUGUCCGGAAUUAUUGGGCGUAAAGAGCUCGUAGGCGGUUCGUCGCGUCGGCUGUGAAAACCCGGAGCUCAACUCCGGGCCUGCAGUCGAUACGGGCGGACUUGAGUGUUGCAGGGGAGACUGGAAUUCCUGGUGUAGCGGUGAAAUGCGCAGAUAUCAGGAGGAACACCGGUGACGAAGGCGGGUCUCUGGGCAACUACUGACGCUGAGGAGCGAAAGCGUGGGGAGCGAACAGG
rnacentral:rRNA from 1 species